AUAAUCAUUCAUAUGAAUGUCCUUCACAAUCCAAGUAAAACAUUUAUCAUGUCAAGUGCAGCAAAAUUCGCCCCAGGUACAGAACCAACAACUGCACCUGGACAACAGAUGUACAUCAGGAAUACUGUCACACUGCUUUUCAAAAUAUUGUGUCCCUAUGUAUAAUGAAUGAAUGAAUGAAUCAGCAACCGCAUGAUAACAUAUCAUGACUCAAGACUUCUGAAACUAUUGAUAAUGGGGCAAAGAGGGAUUUGCGAAUCUGUUAAUGGCACAUGCACCAAAAUUGUAUUAUUUUACAAGUGUUUAGUAUUUAGUAUCAUCGACCCUGUUCAUCAGUUCUUCUUAACUACAACUAAGGACUAACGCUAACACGACAAUGACAGACUAUUAACUGGGUAUAUCCCUGUAAUGCGACAGGUAAAACCCGUUCUCCUUUUUGUCUUUAUGUUGAAAGUACCUCCAGUUUCUUCUGCUGUUUCUCACACUCCACCUGGCACUGGGCCAGGGCCUUGGCUGUCUCUUCCUUGACCAUCUGAGCGCGCUCAGCUUCGAAGGAGUGCAGCUUGGCCUGGUGGGACAGUUCUGCUACCCGGCUGUCAGUACCCAGCUGGAGCUGACGAAACCUGCAUAGAUGGAUGCACACAGACGGACAGACACCUCGCUAAAUAUGAAUUGAUCUCUGUUGUGGAAAGAAGAUGAAAGAACAAUAGGAACAAAGUUAAGGAAACAACAUUUUCCUUUGAGACUUUCUGGCUACAGGUCAGAUCAGAGGCGUCCUCCCUGGCCUUCUUAGUGUCUUCUAACUGUACCUGGACCACCAAAACAAGAAGUGAGAGCACAUUAGAUGACUCCUUCCUUUUACCAAAUGCAUUUGGUGUGAGAUGAGACUUCUAGCUAAUCAACUGUAUGGACCUGAAGCCUCUCCAGGCGGUCUUCUGUAUGUGCACAGCGGACACUGAGCUCCAUGUUCUGUUUGUGGAGGUAUUCCUUGUCUUUCUGUAGGAGAGUCACAGACUGCUGCAAUGUUGCCACCUGGAGGGCGAGAUGAGAAAAUGAAAAACUAUGACAACAGAGUAUACCAAAAGAGACUUUAGUGGACAUCAUGAAGACAAAAUAUAGCAUGAGCGUGUGUGUAGGUAUGUGUGACGCACCUCUUUGCUGAGUGUGUCCCUUUCCCUGGUCAGUGCAGUGUGAGCCAGAUCAAGUGUCUCAAAUCUUCUCUUUAACUCCUUCAGUUCUGCUUCAAAGUUGUCACGGUCGCUAGAAACCAUAGCAUAAAAUGUUUACAUUCAUUUGAACGUGCAACUUAAAAUGUCCAGCAUUUAAAUACAGGAGAAAACUAGACUUCA